rnacentral:rRNA from 1 species
CCUACGGUGCGCAGCAGUGAGGAAUAUUGGUCAAUGGCCGGAAGGCUGAACCAGCCAAGCCGCGUGAGGGAGGAAGGCGCAGAGCGUCGCAGACCUCUUUUGCCGGGGGACAAAAGGCCGGACUCGUCCGGUCCUGAGGGUACCCGGAGAAAAAGCAUCGGCUAACUCCGUGCCAGCAGCCGCGGUAAUACGGAGGAUGCGAGCGUUAUCCGGAUUUAUUGGGUUUAAAGGGUGCGUAGGCGGUUUUUUAAGUUAGUGGUUAAACGUCGGGGCUUCACCUUGAUUUGCCAUUAAUACUGUAAGACUCGAGUUCAGACGAGGUAGGCGGAAUAAGUUAAGUAGCGGUGAAAUGCUUAGAUAUAACUUAGAACUCCGAUAGCGAAGGCAGCUUACCAGACUGCGACUGACGCUGAAGCACGAGAGCGUGGGUAGCGAACAGGAUUAGAUACCCUUGUAGUC